AUUGAACGCUGGCGGCAGGCCUAACACAUGCAAGUCGAGCGGAGCGGCGAACGGGUGAGUAACGCGUGAGUAACUGCCCCCCUCUCUGGGAUAACAGUUGGAAACGGCUGCUAAUACCGGAUAGUGUGGGAUGACUCGCGUCCUAUCAGCUUGUCGGUGGGGUAGUGGCCUACCAAGGCGACGACGGGUAGCCGGCCUGAGAGGGCGACCGGCCACAUGGGGCUGAGGUACGUACCAAACGCCUACGGGAGGCAGCGGUGGGGAAUAUGGCGCAGUGGGGGAAACCGUGAGGCAGCAACGCCGCGGGCGGGAUGACGGCCUUCGGGUUGUAAACCGCUUUCAGCCAUGACGCGGUAGUGGCAGAAGAAGCACCGGCUAACUACGUGCCAGCAGCCGCGGUAAUUC
rnacentral:rRNA from 1 species